rnacentral:rRNA from 1 species
AUACGGAGGGUGCAAGCGUUAUUCGGAAUCACUGGGCGUAAAGGACGCGUAGGCGGGUUUGUAAGUCAGGUGUGAAAUCCUACAGCUCAACUGUAGAACUGCACUUGAAACUACAGACCUAGAGUAUGGAAGGGGCAGAUGGAAUUAGUGGUGUAGGGGUAAAAUCCGUAGAUAUCACUAGGAAUACCGAAAGCGAAGGCGAUCUGCUGGGACAUUACUGACGCUGAGGCGUGAAAGCGUGGGGAGCAAACAGGAUUAGAAACCCCAGUAGUCC